rnacentral:rRNA from 1 species
GAUGAACGCUGGCGGCGUGCCUAAUACAUGCAAGUCGAGCGAACGGACGAGAAGCUUGCUUCUCUGAUGUUAGCGGCGGACGGGUGAGUAACACGUGGAUAACCUACCUAUAAGACUGGGAUAACUUCGGGACACCGGAGCUAAUACCGGAUAAUAUUUUGAACCGCAUGGUUCAAAAGUGAAAGACGGUCUUGCUGUCACUUAUAGAUGGAUCCGCGCUGCAUUAGCUAGUUGGUAAGGUAACGGCUUACCAAGGCAACGAUGCAUAGCCGACCUGAGAGAGUGAUCGGCCACACUGGAACUGAGACACGGUCCAGACUCCUACGGGAGGCAGCAGUAGGGAAUCUUCCGCAAUGGGCGAAAGCCUGACGGAGCAACGCCGCGUGAGUGAUGAAGGUCUUCGGAUCGUAAAAAUCUGUUAUUAGGGAAGAACAUAUGUGUAAGUAACUGUGCACAUCUUGACGGUACCUAAUCAGAAAGCCACGGCUAACUACGUG